rnacentral:rRNA from 1 species
AGCGAACGCUGGCGGCAGGCCUAACACAUGCAAGUCGAACGAACCCUUCGGGGUUAGUGGCGGACGGGUGAGUAACACGUGGGAACGUGCCUUUAGGUUCGGAAUAACUCAGGGAAACUUGUGCUAAUACCGAAUGUGCCCUUCGGGGGAAAGAUUUAUCGCCUUUAGAGCGGCCCGCGUCUGAUUAGCUAGUUGGUGAGGUAAUGGCUCACCAAGGCUACGAUCAGUAGCUGGUCUGAGAGGAUGACCAGCCACAUUGGGACUGAGACACGGCCCAAACUCCUACGGGAGGCAGCAGUGGGGAAUCUUGCGCAAUGGGCGAAAGCCUGACGCAGCCAUGCCGCGUGGAUGAUGAAGGUCUUAGGAUUGUAAAACCCUCUCACCGGUGAAGAUAAUGACUGUAGCCGGAGAAGAAGCCCCGGCUAACUUCGUGCCAGCCGCCGCGGUAAUAC